rnacentral:rRNA from 1 species
AGGACGAACGGCUGGCGGCGUGCCUAACACAUGCAAGUCGAGCGGGGUUGAAGCGAGGGGUAACUCGAGUUUCUACCUAGCGGCGGACGGGUGAGUAACGCGUGGGCAACCUGCCUCAAGGACUGGGAUAACAGCUCGAAAGGGCUGCUAAUACCGGAUAAGCCUAUGGCCUCGCAUGGGGCCAUGAGCAAAGGGGAAACCCGCCUUGAGAUGGGCCCGCGUCCCAUCAGCUAGUUGGUGAGGUGAAGGCUCACCAAGGCGACGACGGGUAGCCGGCCUGAGAGGGUGACCGGCCACACUGGGACUGAGACACGGCCCAGACUCCUACGGGGGGCAGCAGUGGGGAAUCUUGCACAAUGGGCGAAAGCCUGAUGCAGCGACGCCGCGUGAGCGAAGAAGGCCUUCGGGUUGUAAAGCUCUGUCUGGAGGGACGAAGGAAGUGACGGUACCUCCGGAGGAAGCCACGGCUAACUACGUG